rnacentral:rRNA from 1 species
AACCAGCGGAGGGAUCAUUACCGAGUUUACAACUCCCAAACCCCUGUGAACAUACCUAUACGUUGCCUCGGCGGAUCAGCCCGCGCCCUGUAAAACGGGACGGCCCGCCCGAGGACCCUAAACUCUGUUUUUAGUGGAACUUCUGAGUAAAACAAACAAAUAAAUCAAAACUUUCAACAACGGAUCUCUUGGUUCUGGCAUCGAUGAAGAACGCAGCAAAAUGCGAUAAGUAAUGUGAAUUGCAGAAUUCAGUGAAUCAUCGAAUCUUUGAACGCACAUUGCGCCCGCCAGUAUUCUGGCGGGCAUGCCUGUUCGAGCGUCAUUUCAACCCUCAAGCUCAGCUUGGUGUUGGGACUCGCGGUAACCCGCGUUCCCCAAAUCGAUUGGCGGUCACGUCGAGCUUCCAUAGCGUAGUAAUCAUACACCUCGUUACUGGUAAUCGUCGCGGCCACGCCGUAAAACCCCAACUUCUGAAUGUGACCUCGGAUCAGUAGA